rnacentral:rRNA from 1 species
UGGGGGAUAUUGCACAAUGGAGGAAACUCUGAUGCAGCAACGCCGCGUGAGGGAAGAAGGUCUUCGGAUUGUAAACCUUAGUAGUCAGGGACGAAUAAAUGACGGUACCUGAAGAGUAAGCUCCGGCUAACUACGUGCCAGCAGCCGCGGUAAUACGUAGGGAGCGAGCGUUGUCCGGAUUUACUGGGUGUAAAGGGUGCGUAGGCGGGACUGCAAGUCAGACGUGAAAUACCGAGGCUUAACCUCGGGGCUGCGUUUGAAACUGUGGUUCUUGAGUGAAGUAGAGGCAGGCGGAAGUCCUAGUGUAGCGGUGAAAUGCGUAGAUAUUAGGAGGAACACCAGUGGCGAAGGCGGCCUGCUGGGCUUUAACUGACGCUGAUGCACGAAAGCAUGGGGAGCAAACA